rnacentral:sRNA from 23 species
GUUUUCCAUUUUCUACAAAUUAAAAAAAGAAAAAAAACCGAAAUAGUGAAAAAUUCGGGGUUGGCCUUGGCUAAACUGACCCACCCACAAUUUAUCCAAAAAAUUUAUCCACCUAACCCCAGAUCACUGCAAACGAAAUGUAUAUCACUAUUCACGCGUGGUUCCAAUUAUGGCGGCUAGAUGACGAAGGCUUGAUCAGCUACUGCUGUAAAAUAAUGAAACUAAAAGCGCCGUAUUGUUGAUAAUCUACCCAUGGCAUGUACAGGGAACAGUGUGCUUGUGAGAGGGACAAUCCAAAGCAGUAGGUUUUUGUUUAUGAUUGGUUUAUAACAGAAUUUUGGGGAAAAAGGGGGACACCAUAAGUGCAUGUUUCAAAACUAUUAAUAUGUUGUAGCCUUCUUUCUUCAAACAUUGCACUCUGUUGUUGCUUUUCCUUAAGAAAUCUUUUCUCCAAAUAACACCUUGAUUCUUUUUUAUCGGUCUCCUUAUAUAUAUAUAUAUAUACCAAUACUCGGGGUGUCUUUUUUAGCCGCCGAUGUGAGGAUCGAAAAUCAUUAUCUCGAAAGGGUAAAGGUUGUUAAGAUAGUAUAUACAUAUACAUAUACAUAUAUAUAUAUACAUAUAUAUAUAUAUUGAAUUACAUACUUCAAUAAGGAAUGGUAUAAGAUUUUUCGUACGGUAAUA